rnacentral:pre_miRNA from 1 species
UAUAUACUCCCUCCGUCUCAAAUUUUUGUCUUCGAUUUGUCUAAAUACGGAUGUAUCUAAUUACGUUUUAGUGUUAGAUACAUCCGUAUCUAGACAAAUUUAAAAUAAUAAUUUUAGGACGGAGGGAGUACGUU